rnacentral:lncRNA from 1 species
GAACCCUCCAAGGUUCUAGAGAGUUCCAUUGGUGCCUAUAAAUAGGUGAGGGCCUCAUUUGGCCAAGGCACCAAGCAAGUGAGCAUCCAAGCACUUGUAAAGGUUUCCUUGAGUUAGUGAAAGCUUCCAUUUUUUCAAGAGUUGCCUACCAAGCUUCUUAAGCUUUUAAGUCGCGAGUGUCUUAGCCGAGCAAGCUAAGCAUUGGGGAGCAAGGCUGACUUAGCAAAAUCAAGCGUCUUGGCUUGUCUAAGUGCCGCACGAGCUUAGUGAACGACUAAGUCCAUGACAAGUGGUAUCAGAGCGUGGCUACGAAGCGGGCAUAAGGGAAGCAUGUCGGGCUCUAACAUGGAGGAGUAUAGCGAACAAACCCGUGGAAGGGAGGCCGAGCCUACUGCACGGGGCAGGGGCAGAGGUAAGAAGGAUACAUCUCGUGAUGUUGUUGCCAACAUGGAGGCAAGGUUAGCCAAGGUGGAGCUAGCCAUGGCAGACACCCGGGAAGGGGUGGACUUGAUCGAGCAAGGCAUGGAGAAGGGCUUAGAGGAUCUAAGGGAGUAGAUCCAAGACCUUCGCGAGGGGGUGCUGGUCUCGCAAGUUCAGUCGGUGUCACACGAGGAGUUCAUGUCUUUCCAAGACAAGGUCAUGAGCAUGUUCGCUAGUGUGGAGUCAAGGAUGGAGGCCUUGACUGCACGAGUGGAGGCCCGAGACCAAGAGAUUCGACAAGAGUUGGCCAUCUAUAAGACCGCUGUAUCAGCACGAGUCAUGGCCACUCAUGAGGCACCAAGGGUGGAGGUGCCCAAGCCACACACGUUCAGUGGCAAGAGGGAUACCAAGGAGCUAGAUAACUUCUUGUGGCACAUGGAGCGUUACUUUGAGGCAAUUGCAUUAACGGAUGAAGCCACUAAGGUACGCACCGCGACCCUUUACCUCACUGAUAAUGCUACUCUAUGGUGGCGUCGACGAUUUGCCGACAUAGAGAGAGGGACGUGCACCAUAGACACAUGGGAUACCUUUAAGAGAGAAAUCAAGAGGCAAUUCUAUCCCGAAGACGUGGCUUACCUAGCAAGGAAGAGUUUGAAGCGUCUCAAGAACACGGGCUCGAUCCGUGAGUAUGUCAAAGAAUUCUCUACUCUUAUGCUUGAGAUACCUAACAUGGCUAAGGAGGAGCUACUGUUCAACUUGCAAAGCUGGGCCGAGCAAGAGUUGAGGAGACGUGGUGUCCAAGACCUAGCCACGGCCAUGGCAGUAGCCGAGUCCUUAGUAGAUUAUAGAAGGGGAGACUCCUCCAAGCCCAAGCCACCAUCCAAGGGUAACCAGGCCAAAGGUGGGGGAGACAAGAGGUCGCAAGGCCAUACCUCUAAGGAAAGAUCAAGCAAAGGCCCUAGUGGCAAGGAUGGCAAAGGCAAGGACAAGCGAAAGGAGUUCACGCCCAGGACCAAUUGCUUCCUGUGCGAUGGUCCGCACUGGGCACGAGACUGCCCUAAGAGGAAGGCCUUAAAUGCUAUGAUCGAGGAAAAGGAGCAAGAAGGCGAUGCUAAGAUGGGAUCGUUGCAGUUCUUAAAUGCCCUUAAGGCCAAGCCGAUGCCUAAGACGCCUCAAAGCAAAGGGUUGAUGUAUGUGGAGGCCCUUGUGAAUGGGAAGGCCACCAAGGCCCUGGUGGACACAGGUGCCACUCACAACUUUGUCUCGGAGAAUGAGGCAAGAAGGUUGGAGCUCCAAGCAUCCAAGGAAGGAGGAUGGCUCAAGGCAGUCAAUUCAGCCGCCAAGCCAUCACAUGGAGUAGCUCGCGAGGUGACUAUGCACAUCGGCUCGUGGGAAGGAAGGGUCGACUUCACAGUGGCACCCAUGGAUGACUUCAAGAUGGUGCUAGGAAUGGACUUCCUACAGAAGGUCAAGGCCGUGCCACUACCUUUCCUACGCUCAAUGGCUAUCCUAGAGGAGGAGAAGCCGUGCAUGGUCCCUACGGUCAAUGAAGGUACGCUCAAGACCCCUAUGUUAUCCGCUAUGCAAGUAAAGAAGGGGUUAAAGAGGGAAGAGGUGACCUACCUCGCCACCCUAAAGGAAGAAAAGGAUGAUGGGUCGGGAGAACCCAUGCCUAGAGAAAUCGAGGGGGUCCUUGAUGAGUUCAAGGACGUUAUGCCGCCCGAGUUGCCCAAGAGACUUCCUCCUAGGAGAGAGGAAGAUCACAAGAUUGAGCUGGAGCCGGGAGCCAAGCCCCCUGCUAUGGGGCCAUAUAGGAUGGCACCACCCGAGUUGGAGGAGCUAAGGAGACAACUCAAAGAGUUGCUAGAUGCGGGGUUCAUCCAACCAUCCAAGGCUCCUUAUGGCGCGCCGGUUCUAUUUCAGAAAAAGCAUGAUGGGUCCCUACGAAUGUGCAUAGAUUACCGGGCACUCAACAAGGUGAUGGUGAAGAACAAGUAUCCCAUCCCGCUCAUUGCUGACUUGUUCGAUCAACUUGGAAGGGCAAGGUACUUCACGAAGCUGGACUUAAGGUCAGGCUACUACCAAGUCAGGAUUGCGGAGGGAGAUGAGCCGAAGACUACAUGUGUGACCAGGUAUGGCUCAUAUGAGUUCUUAGUAAUGCCUUUCGGACUCACCAAUGCCCCAGCAACGUUUUGCACCCUCAUGAACAAGAUCUUCCACCCAUACUUGGACAAGUUCAUGGUGGUGUACUUGGAUGACAUAGUCAUCUAUAGUAACACUCUAAAGGAGCACGUAGAGCACUUGAGGAAGGUCUUUAAGAUCUUGAGGCAGAACGAGCUAUACGUGAAGAAGGAGAAGUGUUCGUUUGCUAAGGAGGAAGUGAGCCUCCUUGGGCAUCGCAUCAGAGAUGGCAAGCUGAUGAUGGAUGAUAGCAAGGUGAAAGCCAUCCAAGAAUGGGAUCCACCAACCAAGGUACCUCAACUCAGAUCUUUCCUUGGUUUAGUUAAUUACUAUCGGCGGUUCAUAAAGGGUUAUUCGGCAAGGGCCGCUCCACUCACUGAUCUUCUGAAGAAGAAUAAGGCAUGGGAAUGGGAUGAAAGGUGCCAACAAGCCUUUGAGGACCUGAAGAAGGCUGUGACUGAGGAGCCAGUGUUGGCACUACCCGACCACACCAAGGUCUUUGAGGUACACACAGAUGCCUCAGACUUCGCUAUUGGGGGAGUCCUUAUGCAAGAAAGACACCCAAUUGCAUUUGAGAGUCGCAAGCUAAACGACGCGGAGAGGCGUUACACGGUGCAAGAAAAGGAGAUGACCGCUAUCGUUCACUGCUUGCGCACCUGGAGGCACUAUUUGCUAGGGUCUCACUUCAUAGUGAAGACCGACAAUGUGGCCACUAGCUACUUCCAGACACAGAAGAAGCUGAGUCCUAAACAAGCUAGGUGGCAAGACUUCCUGGCCGAGUUCAACUAUACGAUGGAGUAUAAGCCAGGAAGUGCUAAUCAUGUGGCCGACGCCCUAAGUUGCAAAGCCGAGCUAGCGUCCAUAACGAGUCAGCCCCAAGGAGACAUAAUGGAUCUUCUAAGGGAGGGACUGCAACAUGAUCCAGUGGCUAAGAGCCUCAUCGCCCUGGCUCAUGAAGGGAAGACCAAGCGGUUUUGGGUGGAGGACGGCUUACUCUACACCAAAGGGAGACGACUCUACGUGCCUAAGUGGGGGAACAUAAGGCGGAACCUGAUUAAGGAGUGCCAUGACACCAAGUGGGCAGGGCACCCUGGGCAACGACGCACUAGGGCACUACUCGAGUCGGCUUACUAUUGGCCUCAGAUACGGGACGAGGUUGAGGCCUAUGUGAGGACUUGUCUUGUGUGCCAACAAAACAAGGUGGAACAACGACAACCUAGAGGCCUGUUAGAGCCACUACCUGUAGCAGAACGCCCAUGGGACAGCGUCACCAUGGACUUCAUCAUCGGGCUACCUAAGUCAGAGGACAACGGCUCUAUCAUAGUGGUGGUGGAUAGGUUCUCUAAGUAUGCAACCUUCAUAGCAGCCCCGACUGACUGCACUGCGGAAGAGACGGCGAGGCUAUUCCUAAAGAACGUAGUCAAGUAUUGGGGGUUGCCUAAGUUCAUCAUCAGUGAUCGCGACCCGCGCUUCACUGGGAAGUUUUGGACGGAGCUCUUCAAGCUUAUGGGUUCGGAGCUUCACUUCUCCACCAGCUUUCACCCACAGACAGAUGGGCAGACUGAGAGGGUGAACGCCUUGCUGGAGCUAUACUUGAGGCACUUUGUGAGUGCCAACCAGAGGGAUUGGGCUAAGUUGCUAGAUAUAGCCCAGUUCUCAUACAACUUGCAAAGGAGUGAGGCGACCAACAAGAGCUCAUUCGAGCUAGCCACAGGGCAGCAACCCUUAACUCCUCACACGCUAACGAUAGGCUACACAAGGAGAAGUCCAGCGGCUUUCAAGUUCGCGAAGGGGUGGCAUGAGCAAGCUGACAUAGCACGCUCGUACUUGGACAAGGCCGCUAAGAAAAUGAAGAAGUGGGCUGACAAGAAGCGACGUCACACGGAGUACAAGGUCGGAGACAUGGUGCUUGUCAAGCUCCUUCCUCAACAAUUCAAAUCCCUAAGGCCAGUGCAUAAGGGCCUUGUGAGGAGGUAUGAAGGACCCUUCCCUAUACUUGGAAAGGUCGGCAAGGUGUCCUACAAAGUGGAGUUACCGCCAAGGUUAAAGAUUCACCCUGUCUUCCACGUGAGUUACUUGAAACCAUAUCACGAAGACAAGGAUGAUCCAAGCCAAGGGCUUUCUAAGAGGGCACCUACAGCGGUUGUGACCUCCUAUGACAAGGAGGUGGAACACAUCAUUGCAGACCGAAUCAUCAGAAGGCGUGGUGUGCCUCCUGCUACGGAGUACUUAGUGAAAUGGAAGGGACUACCAGAAAGCGAGGCUAGUUGGGAGCCAGCAAAUGCACUAUGGCAGUUCCAGGAACAGAUUGAGCGGUUCCGGGCAGAAGACACGACGAGGACGUCUGCGGCUUAGGUGGGGGAGAGUGUCACAAGAUGCUUCAAAUGACCCUCCCCAUGGCUUAUAUAGGAGGUGAGAAGCUUCUAGAGACCCUUGGAGACAUCCACACUUAGUCAUUAGUGGGAAGAGUGUGGAAGGUUCUAGAAAUGCCUAGAGAAGUCCACACAACUCUACACUCUGGUAGAAGGCAUGAGAAGGGUCCAAAGCUUUCUAGAGAAAUCUAGAAGUCUCUUGAAUAUUCUAGAAUAGUGUAGGACAUUCUAGAAGUCUCUUGAAUAUUCUAGAAUAGUGUAGGACAUUCUAGAAGUCUCUUGAAUAUUCUAGAAUAGUGUAGGACAUUCUAGAAUAUUCAUGAAUUGUAAGGAACCCUCCAAGGUUCUAGAGAGUUCCAUUGGUGCCUAUAAAUAGGUGAGGGCCUCAUUUGGCCAAGGCACCAAGCAAGUGAGCAUCCAAGCACUUGUAAAGGUUUCCUUAAGUUAGUGAAAGCUUCCAUUCUUUCAAGAGUUGCCUACCAAGCUUCUUAAGCUUUUAAGUCGCGAGUGUCUUAGCCGAGCAAGCUAAGCAUUGGGGAGCAAGGCUGACUUAGCAAGAUCAAGCGUCUUGGCUUGUCUAAGUGCCGCACGAGCUUAGUGAACGACUAAGUCCGUGACAAUAAGCUACAGUUGUCGUCCCGGAACUGCCAUGAGAUUGCUCCAAAAUAGCUUGAGUACUAAGGCGUUGCUCUUC